GCGUGGGUCGGCCCGCUGUACUGGAUCCAGUGGGCUGGGGGACACCGCCGCCUACAUCCCCGCGGGCGGCGGACCGGUCCGGGAGGCGAACUCCGCCUCCCGGACUGUG
rfam:Streptomyces avermitilis MA-4680 = NBRC 14893 DNA, complete genome.